UACGUAGGGUGCAAGCGUUAAUCGGAAUUACUGGGCGUAAAGCGUGCGCAGGCGGUUUUGUAAGUCUGUCGUGAAAGCCCCGGGCUCAACCUGGGAAUUGCGAUGGAGACUGCAGGCUUGAAUCUGGCAGAGGGGGGUAGAAUUCCACGUGUAGCAGUGAAAUGCGUAGAGAUGUGGAGGAACACCGAUGGCGAAGGCAGCCCCCUGGGUCAAGAUUGACGCUCAUGCACGAAAGCGUGGGGAGCAAACAGG
rnacentral:rRNA from 1 species